AGUGAACGCUGGCGGUAGGCCUAACACAUGCAAGUCGAACGGCAGCACAGUAAGAGCUUGCUCUUACGGGUGGCGAGUGGCGGACGGGUGAGGAAUACAUCGGAAUCUACUUUUUCGUGGGGGAUAACGUAGGGAAACUUACGCUAAUACCGCAUACGACCUACGGGUGAAAGCAGGGGAUCUUCGGACCUUGCGCGAAUGAAUGAGCCGAUGUCGGAUUAGCUAGUUGGCGGGGUAAAGGCCCACCAAGGCGACGAUCCGUAGCUGGUCUGAGAGGAUGAUCGGCCACACUGGAACUGAGACACGGUCCAGACUCCUACGGGAGGCAGCAGUGGGGAAUAGUAGACAAUGGGCGCAAACCUGAUCCAGCCAUACCGCGUGGGUGAAGAAGGCCUUCGGGUUGUAAAGCCCUUUUGUUGGGAAAGAAAAGCAGCAGGUUAAUACCCCGCUGUUCUGACGGUACCCAAAGAAUAAGCACCGGCUAACUUCGUG
rnacentral:rRNA from 1 species